rnacentral:lncRNA from 1 species
CUAUCUAUCGCUCUGUCUCCAGGCGCCUGCUGUGUACAAAAUGGUAUUUUCCACUGAUCUGCAAUUCAGAGCUUCAUCCCUCAGUGACCACACACUGAUAGUGGUGAUGACCUGAAUGGUGACCAAGAGGGACAGACAGGCAUACUGCAGGACCAUUGCCUUUGGAGGAGCUAGAAAUAGGUUUUGAGUUCACCCUGGAAUUCAGAAGCAUUUUGGAAAAGGAUGUUGAUGUAGGACUGGCAAUAUUGUGGGGAUCUUUGCAACUGCGGUCAGCCACUUCUCCAGAACCUGCUGCAGAUGGACUGCUGACAAUCCUGAGUUAAGUGAGAGACAGCUGAAUCAUCUGUGCUCUGCAGAGUGGUUGAUAGGGCUAUGGAUAUAGACCUUGAAGUUAGACACAGUUCUGCCAGUCUUUCUAUGACGCGUAAGAGAAAAGGAGUUCGAGAACACAGGGGACAAGAGCACUGGAAGAAAUACAGCGUUUCUCUUGCUGCAGCUAGGAGGAAAACAGAAGGUUCCUGACCUAUGAUGUACCUAUUGCAAACUUCUGUGACCCUGACCCCUUCUCCGGACCCAAAGUGAUGUGGCAGGGGAUUGCUCUGGAGCUGCUCACUUGAACUAUGGAUAAGCUCAGACAACUGCAGUUUCUAGGCUGUAUGUCUGCAUGUUGUCAUAUCUGGGAGGGUACUGAAUUGCUCAUUUGCAGACACCUGCCUCCAUGUGUAUUCCAUUGCUGAUAGACCUCCAAAUUAAGAACCCUGUUCACAUGCACCAAACUAACUUUGUCUUCCCCAUAGUCCUCUUUUGAUCCUGCAGCCUGGAAAAGGUGUGGCUACUUUCACACCCCUGGGGCAAAGACAGCCCAAUGGAGGAGGAGGAGGACUUCACACCUUCAUUCCUGCCAGCCACAGCUGGUAGGAGGUACAUCUGGGACAGAAAAGCAGGGAGCUGUGAAGGGA